rnacentral:tRNA from 1 species
GAGCUGCGGGUUCGAGCCCCG